rnacentral:rRNA from 1 species
AGUGAACGCUGGCGGUAGGCCUAACACAUGCAAGUCGAACGGCAGCACAGUAAGAGCUUGCUCUUACGGGUGGCGAGUGGCGGACGGGUGAGGAAUACAUCGGACUCUACUUUUUCGGGGGGGAUAACGUAGGGAAACUUACGCUAAUACCGCAUACGACCUACGGGUGAAAGCAGGGGAUCUUCGGACCUUGCGCGAUUGAAUGAGCCGAUGUCGGGUUAGCUAGUUGGCGGGGUAAAGGCCCACCAAGGCGACGAUCGGUAGCUGGUCUGGGAGGAUGGUCAGCCACACUGGAACGGAGACACGGUCCAGACGCCUACGGGAGGCAGCAGUGGGGAAUAUUGGACAGUGGGCGCAAGCCUGAUCCAGCCAUACCGCGUGGGUGAAGAAGGCCUUCGGUUUGUAAAGCCCUUUUGUUGGGAAAGAAAAGCAGCAGGUUAAUACCCCGCUGUUCUGACGGUACCCAAAGAAUAAGCACCGGCUAACUUCGUG